rnacentral:rRNA from 1 species
AGCUCCAAUAGCGUAUAUUAAAGUUGUUGCAGUUAAAAAGCUCGUAGUUGGAUCUCAGGUCCCGGCUCGCGGUUCACUUCACGGUGCUUACUGCCCGUCCGGACCUACCCGCCGGUUUUCCCUUGGUGCUCUUCACUGAGUGUCUCGGGUGGCCGGAACGUUUACUUUGAAAAAAUUAGAGUGUUCAAAGCAGGCGCUUCGCCUGAAUAAUGGUGCAUGGAAUAAUGGAAUAGGACCUCGGUUCUAUUUUGUUGGUUUGCAUACCAAAUUAAUGAUCAACAGGAACAGUUUGAGGAUAUUCGUAUGAACAUGUCAGAGGUGAAAUUCUUGGAUUUUGAUCAGACGAACUACUGCGAAAGCAUUUAUCAAGGAUGUUUUCA